AGUGAACGCUGGCGGUAGGCCUAACACAUGCAAGUCGAACGGCAGCACAGUAAGAGCUUGCUCUUACGGGUGGCGAGUGGCGGACGGGUGAGGAAUACAUCGGAAUCUACUUUUUCGUGGGGGAUAACGUAGGGAAACUUACGCUAAUACCGCAUACGACCUACGGGUGAAAGCAGGGGAUCUUCGGACCUUUCGCGAUUGAAUGAGCCGAUGUCGGAUUAGCUAGUUGGCGGGGUAACGGCCCACCAAGGCGACGAUCCGUAGCUGGUCUGAGAGGAUGAUCAGCCACACUGGAACUGAGACACGGUCCAGACUCCUACGGGAGGCAGCAGUGGGGAAUAUUGGACAAUGGGCGCAAGCCUGAUCCAGCAAUACCGCGUGGGUGAAGAAGGCCUUCGGGUUGUAAAGCCCUUUUGUUGGGAAAGAAAAGCAGCAGGUUAAUACCCCGCUGUUCUGACGGUACCCAAAGAAUAAGCACCGGCUAACUUCGUG
rnacentral:rRNA from 1 species